rnacentral:SRP_RNA from 1 species
GCUGGGUGCUGUGGUGUGUGCCUAUAGUCCCAGCUACUCAGGACGCUGAAGUGGGAGAAUCACUUGAGCCCAGGAGUUCUGGACUGUAGUGUGCCAUGCUGAUCUAUGUCCACACUAAGUUCAGCCAUCAACAUGGUGACCUCUUUGAGCAAGAGAUCACCAGGUUGCCUAAGGAUGGUGAACCAGUAUAGGUUGGAAACAGCAGGACAGCACUUUCAUGCUGAUCAGUAGUGGAAUCAUGCUUGUGAAUAGCCACUGCACUUUAAGCUGGGCAACAUAGCAAGACCUUGUCUCU